GGCUGAUUAGCUCAGUCAGUAGAGCGUAGUGCUAACAAUGCCAAGGACGCGGGUUCGAUUCCCUUUCGGUCC
rnacentral:tRNA from 1 species